rnacentral:rRNA from 1 species
UACGAAGGAUUCGAGCGUUAUCCGGAUUUAUUGGGUUUAAAGGGUGCGUAGGUGGACUAAUUAGUCAGUGGUGAAAGCCCGCAGCUUAACUGCGGAACUGCCAUUGAUACUGUUAGUCUUGAGUACAGUUGAGGUGGGCGGAAUGUGUCAUGUAGCGGUGAAAUGCUUAGAUAUGACAAAGAACACCGAUUGCGAAGGCAGCUCACUAAGCUGUAACUGACACUGAGGCACGAAAGCGUGGGGAGCAAACAGG